rnacentral:tRNA from 3 species
GGGCGCAUAGCUCAGUUGGUAGAGCGCCACCUCGACACGGUGGAGGUCACUGGUUCGAGCCCAGUUGUGCCCA